rnacentral:lncRNA from 1 species
AACAACUAACGCUGGGUGCUGUUGCCUCUCCGUGGCCCUGCAGGAAAUCCGCAAGCGCCUCAGGACGUGGGAUGUGGGCUACUUCUGGAACGACUUGUACUUGAGGGAGGUGUACAUCAAGCAAAUUAAGCAGCAGUGCUUGAAGGGCAAGGUACCGGCAGCCUUUGGAAGCCUGCGGUCCUGCGGGCCUGCCUUGUGCUGCGGGAGCCUUCCCCUGCUCCCACCUCCGUCUCCACCGCUUUCUCCUUGCCCUCCCGUGCGUGACAGCCUCAUCCCUGGAAAGGAGAGACCACUGCGGAAGACGCUGCUCUGGACGUGCAGGAUCUGUUCCUGGAGGAAAGGCAAAGGCUGGAGAGCAUUGAAGAGAUGCGGAACCGCUACAAUUUGGGCCCUCCGGUGCCCAGGGUUCCCCAUCCUCCAGACGAGCCCGGGAGACAGGAGCCGGAGGUGCAGGGCGAGCAACUGGCCUCUCGAGCGAGGAGAGUGUCAGUCCUGCUGCGGAGAGCCCAGCAAGAGUAAGCACGCCCAGCUGCGGGCGGGCAAAGGCCUCGCACGCGCCAGCGCCCAGAGCCCCACACGCGGCACCUCCUCUUUCCCGCUCCCUCAGCUCUGGCGUUGGGGCGGCAUCCCCUCGCUUCUGGGCGACUCCCAAGCACCCGGCCGACACCUUCCCUCCGGCCCUCUCGCUGCUGCCCAAACGUGAAGGCCCAAAGCCCUCCGCGGGCACAAGGGGCUCCGGGUACCCAAGCGACCACCGGGGCUCCGGCUGCGGGACGGCAGCGGCAGCAGGCUUGGCAGUCUGGCGCCUGAGUCGCCCACCGCUGCCGUCCCCACGGGAGGUGCUGGGCACGCCGGAGGAGAUGGGAAGCUGCGAGGUGGCAUCAUCAGGACCGGCCUGAGCACGGCCGGCACGAUUCCUCUGAUUCUCUGCUCACGCUCAGCCCCUUCCCGUCGAACUCUGCAGCCCUCAGGAGACACCUCGCCUCCUGGAAAAGAGGGACAGCUACCGCUGAUCACCCGCCGCGCUCCUACGCUCUGCAGCUUCUUCACUCCCAUUAAACCGUGUUUCCACAUACUGUGACACUUUGUUGGAGGGGCUGUGGGGCGGGCAAUUUGCAGCGUGGGUGCUUUGGAGGGGAAUUAAAGGGCAGCUCAGGAGACGGGGACGGAGCACCCACUUUGUGCACACAUCCAGACAGCUCUGCACGCCCAGGUGCCCACACUCGUGCGUG